UUUCCUACGGGGGGCAGCAGUGGGGAAUAUUGCACAAUGGGGGGAACCCUGAUGCAGCGACGCCGCGUGAGUGAAGAAGUAUUUCGGUAUGUAAAUCUCUAUCAGCAGGGAAGAAAAUGACGGUACCUGACUAAGAAGCCCCGGCUAACUACGUGCCAGCAGCCGCGGUAAUACGUAGGGGGCAAGCGUUAUCCGGAUUUACUGGGUGUAAAGGGAGCGUAGACGGCAGAGCAAGUCUGAAGUGAAAGCCCGCGGCCCAA
rnacentral:rRNA from 1 species